AUGCUGUAUUACCGAGAGGGCCUAGAGAUAUCUCUCCAUCAGACAGAGUGGCAAAUCAUAGUCUCGAUCCAUGCAACCAAAGAAACACUUUUUGAGAUACAUAAUCGGGCGUCCUACCCAUGGGUUGUAUUGGGUGAUUUUAACGAAAUCCUAUAUUCCCAUUAGAAAGAAGGCGACAAUGCAAGACAAAAUGCAAUGAUGAUAGAAUUUCGUAAUUGUUUGGGUGAUUGUGGCCUGGAAGAUCUGGGAUAUAUUGGGGAUCCUUUCACUUGGAGGGGAGGGGCAAUUAGGGAGAUACUUGACCGUGCCGUAUAUAAUGUGGAAUGGGUGAUUCUGACCAUUGUCAUCUAA
rnacentral:rRNA from 1 species